UACGUAGGCAGCAAGCGUUGUUCGGAAUUACUGGGCGUAAAGAGUGUGUAGGCGGUGCUCUAAGUUCGGUGUGAAAUCUCCCGGCUCAACUGGGAGGGUGCGCCGGAAACUGGGGUGCUGGAGCGCGGGAGAGGAAAGCGGAAUUCCUGGUGUAGCGGUGAAAUGCGUAGAUAUCAAGUGGAACACCAGUGGCGAAGGCGAGUCCCUGGACAACUCCUGACACUGAGGCACGAAAGCUAGGGGAGCAAACAGG
rnacentral:rRNA from 1 species